rnacentral:misc_RNA from 1 species
UGUCUCCAAGUAUUUAAUGGUUGGGAAGUUAGGAAUAUCUUUGUUUAUGUUUGACUAAAUUUUGGAACAUUUCAACCUUCAAAGCUGCCAACUUUGGUUUUUUUUCUUUCUAUGUGUAGUUGUUUGGGUUGAAAAAGAUUCUUGAAGUUUAGGAUGAUUUCAAAGGUUUGAUCAGUUGAGUUAAUUGAAUCUUUCCAAAUUGAGG